rnacentral:rRNA from 1 species
GUAGUCAUAUGCUUGUCUCAAAGAUUAAGCCAUGCAUGUCUAAGUAUAAGCAAUUUGUACGGUGAAACUGCGAAUGGCUCAUUAAAUCAGUUAUAGUUUAUUUGAUAGUACCUUACUACAUGGAUACCUGUGGUAAUUCUAGAGCUAAUACAUGCUUAAAACCCCGACUUCGGAAGGGGUGUAUUUAUUAGAUAAAAAACCAAUGCCCUUCGGGGCUCCUUGGUGACUCAUGAUAACUUAUCGAAUCGCAUGGCCUUGCGCUGGCGAUGGUUCGUUCAAAUUUCUGCCCUAUCAACUUUCGAUGGUAGGAUAGUGGCCUACCAUGGUGGCAACGGGUAACGGGGAAU